AGGUGCAUGCAUAUGCAAAUCGAUUUCAUGAUCAACAUCUUACUUCUAUCGGAAACACACUAGGUCCUUACUUUCCACUCCAUGCAACAAUUAUAUAAUCUACGAUUUUGCAUACCGUUGCACUCGAUUUCAUGCACCCACCCAUUUGGACCCAACUAAUCUAUCUGAUAAAGUGAUAAUUUGAGUAGAACAGCAAAGAUAUCAUAUGAAUUUUCAAGUCUUACAUAAGUCACGUGAAUCCAAGGCAAUUUCUAGAUCAGGACGGGGCGUAAUUAUCGAUGACUUGUAUGUACUAACCUUGUCAUAUUUAAAUUAAUUAAAUAACGUGCUAAUCAGCUGCCAAGAUUGAUUAACAUAUUGGCUGAUGAAAUAAUAAAAUUCUUGGGUGAAGAAGAUAAGAGAAUGAUCACCUCACCCUCCCACCCACUACACACAUAUUGACUUAUACAGAAACGAUCGUAACUGAUAGGUCUUUUCUAAAUGCAUGUAAGGAUUAAUACAUAUCAAAGAUUAUACUAAAAUGGUUGAUACAUAAAUUGUGAGACGAUGAGAAGACGUGAAUUCACUGUCAAGUUUAAGAGAGUACAUAAACAUGUGUAGAAAAGACAAGGGUCGGCAGAAAAUGAUUGGCCCUUCUACUCUAAUUCCAUUGCACCACAUUUCUCAGUGGAUUUAUGUCAAAUAUCUUUGGUAUAAAAAAUCAUGUGUUUAGUAUGAGUAGAUGUGAAAUAACAAAAUUAAUUGUCAGAAAUGUAACGCACAUAAACUAAAUAAACUGUACAAAAAGGCGAGAUCAAACAAUAAGUAAAAGAGGGAUAUGAGCUCCAUUGAGCAUAUCCACGCUCAUAUCCACGUCUGCUUCGAAAAUCAACCAAUGAGAGAGAGCCAUGUCAUUGUUACUUUGCCACAUCACACCUCUGAAGUUUCUCCUCUCGCCGUUUGGGAAAGCAAUUUCAUGAUCCGUUACAAAUCCAUGGCUUCCACACCUUUUUCCAUUAUCUUUCUCAUUUAAUGCUUUCUUCAACUUAGAAAAUACCAUACGAAAACCUCCUCACCUUCUCCCUUCUUCCAUAUUUUCUUCUGAUUGUUAGAUUUUUGUGAACCCAAAAUAAUCUCAUAUGAUUUUAGGGUUGUGAAACAACGAUUAAUUGGAAUUAAUAUAUUCUGAAUCCAUUUUGGUUGUGCUUUCAUUUAAGGGAAAUAUGGCAGAAUCAGGGAUGAGAAGUGCCACAAUACGUUGUAGAAUCGAGAUAACGUUUCUUAUGGAUGAGAAGUGCCACAACACAUUGUGGAGUCGAGAUAACUUUUCUUAUUUAAAAGGAGCGAGAGAGCGAAUGAGCCAGGUACAAGCGAUGGAGAGAAUGUGGUGGAGCUUUUGUUUAGUUUUGGUUUCUGGUUAGAGAAGCACACGCAAAGGAAGCAAACAUCGUCCUUAUUCAGGUCAUUCUUGCUCUUAAAUAUUUCUCAGUUUUUCUUUUCUCAGAAGGCCACAUCUCUGCUAUAGUGUUUCCAUUUAGAUUAUCAUCACUUUCCUUAAGUAUUGACAUAAUGCUCUAUCCUCGGACUCUGGAGUCAAGUAGAGUCAUGUUCUGUAGUGAUAUAUAUUGCCUUCUCCUUACUAUUGGAGUAUUACAAAAUGAUUUCUAUAAAAGAUGAACGCAAGUAUCUCCAUAUAGGAGACUUUUUAGGUAUAUUACUUCUGUCAAGCACAAAGAGAGAGGACUUUUCUGCAAUCCAAGCCUUAAAAGGACCAUUCUAUCAUUGCAACGUGACCUUUUCCAUCUUGAUGCCCCUUUGAUACUUUCAUCAACACAGUGGAUUUCAUUUCGAGAUGUAUUUGUUAUACAGUUGUGCUCGAUAUGGGUUACUAAUAGAGGAUACAUAAGCUGACAAAGGAGCUGAGUGUAGAGAUACAUGUUAGCUUCUUUGAGGAGGCAAAUAAUGCACACUACAACUCAGUUUCCAUUGGAUAUGUUGAUGAAGUGACCUCGGUAUUUAUAGGAAGUUGCAUAUACCUGAUGGAUCAGGUGAGUCAAGUUUGGAGUUUUAAUGAGCGCAACUUUCUUUUGCUGAUACCUUUUAUUGACUUCAGAUUGUCAAGAAAAAAAAAAAUUUAAUCCUCGUAACAACUGGCUUUAAGAUAGUUUUGAGUUGAAGUUUUCCAAAUUAAACUUUUUUUUACUUAAUCAUGCUAUUUGGUUAAACAUGUUUCAACACUUCUCUAUGGUUAUCAAAAGGUUUUUCAGGCAAUGUUUGCAAAAACUAAAGUAGGUAAGUUAAUCAAGAUUUUCCUGUGUAUUUUUCGUAUGAUUUAUUUAGUUGAUGAAAUCAUAAUUGAAGUAUUGGUGCAAUGUCUUAGUCUGCUAUAUGUUGGGAUCAACGGUUUCCCGAGGAAGCUCGAGCUAUGGUUCUACAUGGUGAUGAAUAUUGUUUUAUCUCACUGCCAUUGGCUGUGAACUUCAAGACGAGGGAUUGGAUUCGCGUGAUCAUUGGAGUAGAGUCACGAAAAGGCAUGAUGGAGAUAAUGUGGGACAUGCGCAAUAAAUUACAUGUAUAUCCGACAGCAGCCACAGCCGCAGACCGCAUACAAUUUAUCAAACGCUUCAAUAUGUGCCUUCGUCUCAAAAAUUCUGCUUUUGGAUGGUGAGAAGAUACAAAAACAAAGAUAGUUCGCAGGAUCAACCUAUUGAUCAAGCCAGACAAGAGGACUGGUCUGUCUAGUUUGAAGUAAGAGAGAGGCAGAUAGAGAGGUACAUCACCUUAAACAUUGUAUGCUCUUGGGUAACGAAUGGUCUCUCCUUGAAGCUGAAAGAUGAUCUCUUGAAGCCAAAGAACCGAUCACUAGAGUCAGUAAAAACAGAAAGUAAGGAGCAUAUAAGAUAUACGAGGCUAAACCAAUCUUCUUUAAGGAAUCAUUUCACUUAUCCUGGGUUCAUGUAAUUCUCAAAAGAAUUUUUAGCAAAAUCUCUUUAUCAUUGAUAUUAUAGGCUAAUCAUCAACCUUUAUGUCCUCCUGUAAGUUACAAAUAUAUUAGACACUUAGAGAAUGAUUAUCGG